GGAUAUUUUAUGAUUCUAUGAUUCUACCUGCAGCUGCAAGCAGAGAGCACCUGGGGGCUCAGCCUGCCGGAGAAGGACGCCGCCUCCCCUUCCAGGCCUGGGCAGAAAGCUCUAAGCCUCGAUUUUUUGUGUUUUUCCACUCCUCCGUUCCCCCGAAGCUGCAUAGCUCUGAUUCAUCACGUCGGCCGCGCUGUUUUUAGCGUUGUCCAUUAGUCGGAGCCUGCUGUCACCCUCUGCAGUGUGUUACGUAGCCCGGUGUCUCCUGCUAUUAGUCUGCCUCAUCGUGGCUGAGCCGCUGGAGAAAUGGAGGCUGAGGCAAGGCUUAGUACCUUCUGCGGCCGGCUGUCCGGCAGCACUUUCAUCUCCUCGCCACAGACGUUGGUAGACCGCAGAAAGCCCCACGGGGAGGAGAAGAGCCAGCAGGGCACCGGGAGAGAGCAGAAACUUUCCCCAGCUGCCAUCAGGGACUGGGCUAAACCUCGGCGUCUCCCCUGCUCCUGUACCUCCCGAAGGAAGCUGGCGGAUGCCGGCGGUGCAGAGAUGCUCAGAGAGGAGAUAAGUAAGCCCAGAGAGCUGAAAUGCCAAGCUUUUUUUUUUUUUUACUUCCAGUUUUACCUGUGGCUGCUGGUGGCACUGGUUGUGCAAUGGGGGAUUGCCCUGGAGAAGUGUUCUCCGAACAGCCACGGUCGUGUCUCUCGCCCUCUGCCUUGCUCGAGCCCUCCCGGAGGCAGCCUGCUCUCCCUGGGAUGGAUUUGCGAAGCAAAGUGGCGAACCGUGGAGGUAAAGAGAGAAACAGGGGCACAAUUCCCCAGAAAACACAUGCCCAUAAUACAUGCUGGUUUUAGAAGCUGUUUGGUUGCCCCUUUGGCAGGGUGCUUCCAAGGAAAGCCAGCUGGGGGACAGAGGGGACAGGCAGCACCGCUGUCACGCACAGAUGUCUCGGACACCCGAGAGGGUUCAGCCACGCUGCGGCCGUGGAGCUGCCCGGGGACAGCUGGGAAGGGGCAGGUCGCCUUUCGUCUCCAUCCUGUGCCUGGUUUAGUCACGAAGGACACCGGUGAUGCUACUGGGAGGAAAUGUCUCAGGCUGUCAGAGCUGGAGUCGGUGUCACAGGAGACAAUGGGUGCUGAUUUAGGAUGGAGACAACUGUUCUUUCUUAGGAUGGUUGCAAACCGGCACAUCCCAGCCUCAUUCCCAAAUUUUUGUCUUCCUUGA
rnacentral:lncRNA from 1 species